rnacentral:rRNA from 1 species
UACGGGGGGGGCAAGCGUUGUUCGGAUUUACUGGGCGUAAAGGGCGCGUAGGCGGCCAGCACACGUCAGUUGUGAAAUCUCCGAGCUUAACUCGGAACGGUCAACUGAUACUGUGCGGCUAGAGUGCGGAAGGGGCAACUGGAAUUCUUGGUGUAGCGGUGAAAUGCGUAGAUAUCAAGAGGAACACCUGCGGCGAAGGCGGGUUGCUGGGCCGACACUGACGCUGAGGCGCGAAAGCCAGGGGAGCGAACGGG